rnacentral:rRNA from 1 species
UACAGGGGGGGCAAGCGUUGUUCGGAAUUACUGGGCGUAAAGGGCGCGUAGGCGGCCUGCUAAGUCGGACGUGAAAUCCCUCGGCUCAACCGGGGAACUGCGUCCGAUACUGGCGAGCUUGAAUCCGGGAGAGGGAUGUGGAAUUCCAGGUGUAGCGGUGAAAUGCGUAGAUAUCAGGAGGAACACCGAUGGCGAAGGCAGGUCUCUGGGCCAUAACUGACGCUGAGAAGCGAAAGCAUGGGGAGCGAACAGG